GUAGGUGGCAAGCGUUGUCCGGGAAUUAUUGGGGCGUAAAGCGCGCGCAGGCGGUCCUUUAAGUCUGAUGUGAAAGCCCACGGGCUCAACCGUGGAGGGUCAUUGGAAACUGGAGAACUUGAGUACAGAAGAGGAAAGCGGAAUUCCACGUGUAGCGGUGAAAUGCGUAGAGAUGUGGAGGAACACCAGUGGCGAAGGCGGCUUUCUGGUCUGUAACUGACGCUGAGGCGCGAAAGCGUGGGGAGCAAACAGGAUUAGAUACCCUGGUAGUCCACGCCGUAAACGAUGAGUGCUAAGUGUUAGGGGGUUUCCGCCCCUUAGUGCUGCAGCUAACGCAUUAAGCACUCCGCCUGGGGAGUACGGCCGCAAAGGCUGA
rnacentral:rRNA from 1 species